GAUGAACGCUGGCGGCGUGCCUAAUACAUGCAAGUCGAGCGAACGGACGAUAAGCUUGCUUUUCUGAUGUUAGCGGCGGACGGGUGAGUAACACGUGGAUAACCUACCUAUAAGACUGGGAUAACUUCGGGAAACCGGAGCUAAUACCGGAUAAUAUUUUGAACCGCAUGGUUCAAAAGUGAAAGACGGUCUUGCUGUCACUUAUAGAAUGAUCCGAGCUGCGUUAGCUAGUUGGUAAGGUAACGGCUUACCAAGGCAACAAUGCAUAGCCGACCUGAGAGGGUGAUCGGACAGAAUGGAACUGGAACACGAUCCAGACUCCGCCGAGAAGCAGCAGUAGGGAAUCGUCCGGGAAGGGCGGAAGCCUUACGGAACAAGGCCGCGUGAGUGAUGAAGGUCUUAGGAUUGUAAUACUGUGUUAUUAGGGAAGAACAUAUGUGUAAGUAACUAUGCGCGGCAUGACGGUACCUAAUCAGAAAGCCACGGCUAACUACGUG
rnacentral:rRNA from 1 species